UACGUAGGGAGCAAGCGUUGUCCAGAUUUAUUGGGCGUAAAGAGCUCGUAGGCGGCUUAGAAAGUCAGGUGUGAAAACUCUGGCUUAACCCAGAGACGCCACUUGAUACUUCUAUGGCUUGAGUUCGGUAGGGGACCAUGGAAUUCCUGGUGUAGCGGUGAAAUGCGCAGAUAUCAGGAGGAACACCGAUGGCGAAGGCAGUGGUCUGGGCCGAUACUGACGCUGAGGAGCGAAAGCGUGGGGAGCGAACAGG
rnacentral:rRNA from 1 species